GUCAAAAUUUUUAAGAGAAACCAUGCAAGAUCUUUUUCGAGAGCGUGUAAAAAAACGAUGGACCGAUUACAAAGGUCCACGGACGUGCACAGGUGCGUGUGAGCGUAAAAGGGGCAAAAGGCCGUGCACAUGCGUCGGUCUGACGCCAGCACAGGCCCCACGCCCCCCCUCCGCCUUCGGUUCAAUAAUGAUCCUUCCGCAGGUUCACCUACGGAAA
rnacentral:misc_RNA from 1 species